GCAUGGCUGUGGAUUUAUGGUGGGGGUCCCCCACCAUGGCCCCUCCAUAGUGUACUCCAUGCAAGAGCAGCUGGCCCCCCUGAACCAUGGCCGCCCUAGUGCCUGUGGGUCCCGGUCCCUGAAAUGGGGGGCACAGCU